rnacentral:rRNA from 1 species
CCUACGGGAGGCAGCAGUGGGGAAUAUUGCACAAUGGGCGCAACCCUGAUGCAGCAACGCCGCGUGAGUGAAGACGUAUCUCGGUGUGAAACGCUCUAUCGGCAGGGAAGAAAGGCCCGAAAGGGAGAUGACGGUACCUGACUAAGGAAGCCCCGGCUAACUACGUGCCAGCCGCCGCGGUAAU